UCAUCAUUAACGUCAAUUACUUUAUUUCUUUUUUAAUACAAUUACAAAAUGUUAUGUUAAUUAAAAUAUGUUAAUUUUCUGAAACCGUCAACGUAUAAAAGGUGUUGUUGAAGUACAGAAGAGAGAGCCUCCACUAUUGAUGGGCAACUGGCGUGGUGGUCGUCUCGACUGUGGUGUUUUCGUCUCGCCUGUGGUAUUUUCGUCUCGACUGUGGUGUCUUAGUCGUGACUGUGGUGAUCUCGUUUUUGACUGUGGUGUUUUAAAAACUGCUGCUGAGCUAUCGACAUUGAAUGACGGACUUGUUGGUGGAGGUUCACUGUCAAGUGGAGAUUAUUUUGUUAUUCAUUAUACUAGUUGUAAUUACUAAUUUUAUAUUAAAUUUAUAUUAAACAGAAGUUCUU
rnacentral:lncRNA from 1 species